GGAACUCAGAAUGCUUGACGAAAUGCUGUGACAUUCAGUUAUAGGAAUACAUCUACUUAGGGAAAUUAUAAUCCUAGGCAAGGGAAUUACAAUCCAUAACCGCAGAACUACAAUCAACACACUCAAAUGCAUCCACAACAAGGCUAAACACAUCCACACUAAAAUCUGAUGCAGCCACAACACUCUUCAAGACCAAAUCAACAUGUUCAAGGACAUCGACAACAACUGUACACUCAAGCUUCUGCUUCUGACUUGUUAGCAACUCUUGAGGUGUUAAUGCGGGAGCAUAUUACUCAC
rnacentral:lncRNA from 1 species